UACAUAAGUACCUUGGCCAGGGCUUCGCCUCUGAACAUAGUUUUUUAUCUUAAGAGUUUACAGUUUAAUAAAGCUCAGCGGAAGAACAAAUCAUGAUGCUGAAACGUAAGCGUUCAUAAAAAACGAAGGACCGCCCUCGAAACGAUUAACUCUCCCCGUCGUGUGAAUCACCUGUUUCGGCAGACAACAUUGAAGAGACCUGCCUGACAAAAAAAACUUGAAAAGUAGUAAAACACAAAAAUGGGCGCGGCGACAAAGAUUUUUAAGCUUUUACUAAUUAUCACCAGUAUCAUAUUAGGGAUUCUGGGUCUAGUAAUCGGAGGUUUGGGUGCAGGUUUCGUAAGAUUUCUCACCUUUUACGCCUUACUGAACGUGCAAGGGUUCAUCGUACAGGGAAUUUUGAUGUUCAUAGUCGGCGUAGUCAUCGUCAUAAUGGCUGCAUGCGGGUUCCUCGGUUUGGUUACAAGAUUCCAGCCUGUACUUAUGGCGUACGUAAUCAUAAUGGUGCCGUUGGUGACAGUGGAGAUGUAUAUAAUGGCGCAGUCGGUAACUCUAAGCAAAAGGGCGUACACCUGGGUUAACAGUACCUACUGUGAAAAAUUCCACGUCAAA